rnacentral:rRNA from 1 species
ACGGCGAUAAGGGGACCUCGAGUGCCAGGUUACAAAUCUGGCUGUCGUGAUGCCUAAAAAGCAUUGCAUAGCAAGGGCCGGGCAAGACCGGUGCCAGCCGCCGCGGUAACACCGGCGGCUCGAGUGGUAACCGUUAUUAUUGGGUCUAAAGGGUCUGUAGCCGGCCGGAUAAGUCUCUUGAGAAAUCUGGCAGCUUAACUGUCAGGCUUUCAGGAGAUACUGUCUGGCUCGAGGCCGGGAGAGGUGAGAGGUACUUCAGGGGUAGGGGUGAAAUCUUGUAAUCCUUGAAGGACCACCAGUGGCGAAGGCGUCUCACCAGAACGGACCUGACGGCAAGGGACGAAAGCUAGGGGCACGAACCGGAUUAGAUACCCGGGUAGUCCUAGCCGUAAACGAUACUCGCUAGGUGUCGGCCACGGUGCGACCGUUGUCGGUGCCGUAGGGAAGCCGUGAAGCGAGC